ACGGGGGGGGUAAGCGUUGUUCGGAAUUACUGGGCGUAAAGGGCUCGUAGGCGGCCAACUAAGUCAGACGUGAAAUCCCUCAGCUUAACUGGGGAACUGCGUCUGAUACUGGAUGGCUUGGAUUUGGGAGAGGAAUGCGGAAUUCCAGGUGUAGCGGUGAAAUGCGUAGAUAUCUGGAGGAACACCGGUGGCGAAGGCGACACCCUGGACUCAUACUGACACUGAGGUGCGAAAGCGUGGGGAGCAAACAGGA
rnacentral:rRNA from 1 species